CGAGCCGCACCGGCCCGGCGCCCGUGUGGACCGGCCACUGCCAACUGCUUUGUGUUCAGAUCGGUAGCUGUUUGGGGUGGAAACAGUGAAGCAGGAAAGGCGAAAUCCAGUGAUAAGAAAAUGAGAAGGGUUCUUAUAACAUUUUCCCCCUAGACAAAUAUGCUUAGGUGCAAGGCAGUUAGUUAAGCAUUUGGGGAGAUUUUUUAAAAAAGAAUUGGGUUGGGAAGCAUACAUAUAUGAAAGGUAUCCCCUCAAAGAACGCAUUGCAGGCUUCAUUGUAGAAACUGACGUCACGAAAAAGACUUAAAAAGGGACAAGGAUUUAGGAAGGGACUGGGACGAUGGAGUGGAUGAAGAGGGAAGUAAACAGAGGACGUCUGCCUGCCAUCAGCUGUCGCAAUUGCCUUUGAAGGUGCACCUGAGGGGAAUUCAGGAUAAAGUAAAACAGGAUACUGGCCCUGGAGAGUGGACAGAACAAGUUCAGAGUCCAGACUCUUGCAUCUUCUCAUAGCAAGAACUCCUGUAUAUUCUGGCUCCUCUCUUACCAAUUUGGAACGACUCCUCAGAGAUACCUGAGAGGCAGCAUCCUAGGCUAAAGUCCUCAGUAAGGCCACCAAAUAAAA